rnacentral:rRNA from 1 species
GGUGGCGAGUGGCGAACGGGUGAGUAAUGUAUCGGAACGUGCCUAGUAGCGGGGGAUAACUACGCGAAAGCGUAGCUAAUACCGCAUACGCCCUACGGGGGAAAGCAGGGGAUCGCAAGACCUUGCUCUAUUAGAGCGGCCGAUAUCGGAUUAGCUAGUUGGUGGGGUAACGGCUCACCAAGGCGACGAUCCGUAGCUGGUUUGAGAGGACGACCAGCCACACUGGGACUGAGACACGGCCCAGACUCCUACGGGAGGCAGCAGUGGGGAAUUUUGGACAAUGGGGGAAACCCUGAUCCAGCCAUCCCGCGUGUGCGAUGAAGGCCUUCGGGUUGUAAAGCACUUUUGGCAGGAAAGAAACGUCAUGGGCUAAUACCCCGUGAAACUGACGGUACCUGCAGAAUAAGCACCGGCUAACUACGUGCCAGCAGCCGCGGUAAUACGUAGGGUGCAAGCGUUAAUCGGAAUUACUGGGCGUAAAGCGUGCGCAGGCGGUUCGGAAAGAAAGAUGUGAAAUCCCAGAGCUUAACUUUGGAACUGCAUUUUUAACUACCGAGCUAGAGUGUGUCAGAGGGAGGUGGAAUUCCGCGUGUAGCAGUGAAAUGCGUAGAUAUGCGGAGGAACACCGAUGGCGAAGGCAGCCUCCUGGGAUAACACUGACGCUCAUGCACGAAAGCGUGGGGAGCAAACAGGAUUAGAUACCCUGGUAGUCCACGCCCUAAACGAUGUCAACUAGCUGUUGGGGCCUUCGGGCCUUGGUAGCGCAGCUAACGCGUGAAGUUGACCGCCUGGGGAGUACGGUCGCAAGAUUAAAACUCAAAGGAAUUGACGGGGACCCGCACAAGCGGUGGAUGAUGUGGAUUAAUUCGAUGCAACGCGAAAAACCUUACCUACCCUUGACAUGUCUGGAAUUCCGAAGAGAUUUGGAAGUGCUCGCAAGAGAACUGGAACACAGGUGCUGCAUGGCUGUCGUCAGCUUCGUGUCGUGAGAUGUUGGGUUAAGUCCCGCAACGAGCGCAACCCUUGUCAUUAGUUGCUACGAAAGGGCACUCUAAUGAGACUGCCGGUGACAAACCGGAGGAAGGUGGGGAUGACGUCAAGUCCUCAUGGCCCUUAUGGGUAGGGCUUCACACGUCAUACAAUGGUCGGGACAGAGGGUCGCCAACCCGCGAGGGGGAGCCAAUCCCAGAAACCCGAUCGUAGUCCGGAUCGCAGUCUGCAACUCGACUGCGGAAGUCGGAAUCGCAUAGUAUCGCGGUCAGCAUGCGCGGAACUUACGCCA